CAGAAAGUACCAAGAACCUCUCAUUUCAACCCUGAGCUACAAAUAUCUUCCUUUGAUUUGUGUUUCAAAUUCCCAGGUUAGCUUACAGUCUUUGUAUUCCCAGAUGUCUCCCAUCCCAAUACUAACCAAUUUACUAAUUAUUACUCCUAUCCCAGUACUAAGCUUCCCAGAGUUAUCCUGUGGUGGGGCGACCAAUUAGAGAUGGACGGACGGAUGGAUGGAAAAUCGUUCAGAGCUUCUGAGCACAGAUAUUUCUGCUGCCCACAGAACUCUGGUGCCAUUAUAUCCUAAUUUAGCAUUUUGUUUAAAUAAAACCAUUGAUACAUAGAUUAUUGCCUAGCUCAUAUAUCUUUUUUGCUAUGCACAUUCAGGCUCAUUGAAUCAUCUAUUGCAAAAGCUUUUGGAAGACCCACAAAAGGCUCUUAAGAAUAUUUGUAUGUUAUGCUAAUCAUACCUAACUUUCCAGGGAAGCAUCAUAGAGAAACAGUUCUUCAUGAACAGAGUUUGGCAGGCUGUCCAGCAGAAGGCUAAAGAGAUUCCUGUUGAAGCAGAUUCCUUUGCAUAAUAUCUCUUAUUAUUAUCUGCAAUAAAUUAAUAACUCUCACUACUUAAUGCCUGGUUUGCUUUUUCAGAAAUUAUUGGGAAAGUUUCAGAACAUAAUAUUCUGUAAAUAAACUAACUUUAGGUUCAGAUUUCUGUCCACAAUGUAUGUGUAUCACAUACUUUAAAAUGUUUGAUGAUGUUAGUGUAAUGUUUACAUUUUACAAACAGCAUUUUGAUGCAUUCUCAGAAUAGUCUAGGUAACAAACGUGGAAUUUUCUUCCCCUUAGAUUACUGUACUUUUGUCAAUGUCACUUUGUCAGAAGCUGUGU